ensembl:lncRNA
ACAACAGAUGUUUCAUGCAAUCUCUGGAUGGAGAAACUACAAAAUUACAAAGGCUAAAAUAAGUGCUUCAAAUAAUUCCAGGUCUGGAAUUCCUAGAUAAGGUCUACAGUACAUUGGGAUAGAUUGUCCUCGACUUUGGCACACUGAAGACUUCAACACAGCAGUUCACAAAGCUCCUGCCUCAGGCUCUGAAAGGUGGUUGUUACCAAAGAGCCAGAAGUAUGUAUAAAUUGGCAUGCGAUAGGUAUACACCAAAAGGAUUAUUUCACAUGUCUCACAGGUAUGUAUGCCAAUGGAGACUGAUCUUGAAUCUGAGUUAUAAAUCCCCACUGCUUCCCUUCCAAGAUACUGCAGUUGCUAACUCUGUUGGUUACACAUUAUUCCUCAAAAAUACUUACUUCUACACAAUAUAUAGUCUUGUGAUGUAGAUAUUAGCAG